GGCUCCAUCCUGCUGUCAGUGUGGCAGCAGAGGUGCCUCGUCUGAGUGAUGCACGCGGACUUCCUCUUUAUAUGCUUUGUUUUUCCGCGGUGAGUUGUGUCCCCCUCCCCUUCCCCCCUCCCCACAGACGCAGACACACACUCACAUUCCCUCUAUGUUUGGUUUCUCUUCCUCCUUUGUGCGUGUGUUCCUUCUGUUUUGUAUUGCUUGAGUUCAUGGCGCCUUCCCUGAUCUGUGUGUUUCUGUCUUUGCGCUCCGUUUUUCGUCCCACUCCUCCUAUCGAGCCGUUCACCAGGCCCAGGCAUCUGCAAAACAACAAAAAAGGAGAAACAAAUAAAAUCAAUAGCUAAUAAGAACAAGCCAUCGCUGCUGCUUUAUGUGCAUGCGCGUGUGCGUGUGCGUUUGCCAGUAUGACUUUGUUGUGUGCGUGUUCGGUUCUUCAUUUCGUAGUGUCCUGUUGAUGUUCGUUUCCAGACUCUCUCGCUCGCUUUCUCUUUCUCCAGUAUUUGGUCAUCGCGGGUGCGGAAACAGUCUGUGGGAUGCGAUCAACAAGCCACUGCCGCAGUCGCAUUUAUGCUCCUCUUCCCACUACGACGCUGUUGACUACCACCCCCAUCACCACCACCACCACCCUCUCCCCACUCCCCACUCCCCACGCAGCACACGAGCGCAAUAGCACUCGGAGGCGGGAGGAGAGGCGAAGUGGUGGUAAAGGCAAAAGGUUUAAAAAUAUAUAUGAAAACGGAUGUGGUGCAGUGAGGAGAGCAUACCCAGGGAGCGAAAGUGCAGAGGUUAGAAAAGCAGAUCACGGUGGACUAGAGAGGAGUGAGAAGCAGGUAAGCAAAGAAAACAAGAAAAGCGUGUGCGGCCAAAUCACAGGACAGCGGGUUGCAGAGGAAUGAACGGGAGAGAACGUUCAAGGCUGGACACUGUAAGAAGGAUGAACGACGAGGAAGGUCAGGGUACAUACGCGAAAGUCAUGCGCAGGGAGGGAACUUACAAUACACAUGAACAAGCACGCACACAUUCUGCUCGGUUGCCUUCACCUGGUGUACUCUUUCCAAGUCUUCCACCUCUACUCCAUCGCCCCCUCCUCUCCCUCCCUCCUCCAACCCUUCCCUUGUCUGCUUGCCUCAGAUGCAGCUCACCUGAUCGUGUUCCCGUUGUUCUUUUGCUUCCGAAUUCGUGAUUCUCAUUUUUGGCUUUGUGCUACUUUCUGGUUUGCGUGCAUAGUGGUCAGGAACCCUCAUUUCUCCAGCUCUUCGCCGCCUCCCCUCUUUCUCACACGAACGUCUUCUGCCUCGCGCACGCGCCUCCACGCCUUCCACGCCCCCUACCCCAACAAGGAACGGGACGGGGCGUUCAUGUGUAGGUGUGUGGACUUGUGUGCAGGCUCUCGUUUUCUUGACUCGCUCUAUUCCUUUGUCAACUCGCUUUCGACUGUUUUGCUUUUCAUUCGUCCACCCACCCAACAUCCCUCCAUCCCCAUCCCCAUCCCUUUUUUUGGUUUUAUUUUGGUCUGGCCCUUUUUCUUUUUUUUUGCUCUUGUUGUUUGACCUUUAUUUGUGUCGGCGUGUGAGUGAGUGUGUGUGUGUGUGUGUGUGUGUGUGUCGCUCCUCCAGUUGAAGGCGAAGAGGGGUACCGUUGACGUGACUCUCCCAGUACAUACAAGCGAAAGCAUGACGACGAGUAGCCACGUCUCGCGCCGAAUG
rnacentral:misc_RNA from 1 species